CCAAAGAAAUAGCAAAAAAAAAAAAGAAUUAUUUCGGGCUCUUCGAACCCAUUCUGGCGAACUUCAUCAAUAGCUGAGAUGCACACAUAGACCCUCACUUCUCUUCUUCACUUCUUCACUCUCUUCCAGAAUUCUUCCUACGUCAUAUUUUCUUUUUCUCCUCUCUAGUCCUCAAUUCCCGUCCACUCUCAUAUUAGGAUACCCAGGUAACCUCCGCAGCUGAAGAAAGUCAAGCAAAAAGAUCAGAUUGGGGUGGCGGCGGGGUGGGGGGGGAGAUGCAGGGUGUGUGUGUGUGCGUGUGUGUGUGUGCUUUCCAGAAAGUAAAUCUAAUCCAAAUGGAAAAUUGAAACUAGUCAAGGAAAACACACUGGAAACUUUCACUGAAGGGGUUCUAGCUGCAAAACUCCCAUAAUCCCACAUUCUUCACAAUACUGCCUAUCCCUUGACAAAUGGGAUCACAAAAAUAAGUUAAAAGAAAAGCUGUUUCCAAGCCCAGCAACAACCCUAGGAAUGAUUUACAGCACAGGCAACCCCGCUUUCACAGUUAACCAUACUGUGCGUAUUUCUAACAGAGUUACAAGCAAUUCCCAGUGGUCUUUGGCAACAUCCCAGAAUCUUUUUCAAAUAAAGCAAAAGUAAAUAGCGCAAAAAACUUCAAAAUCAAAAAACUCCUUUGGCCGCUACACAGCAAAUUCCAUUACAGUGGCUUGCAAGUUUCCAAAUUGUUCAAAUAGAUUAAAAACCCAGUCUGCAUUCGUUUUACACUUUGCAUUCUGCAAUAGCUACGAACAGAAACCACAGAGAACUGAGCGAAGUGCACUGCAGUAAGAAUGAGCAAAUUCACCGCCCCAAAUCAGUAACUUGCAAGUAAUCGGAAAUCAAAAAUUUCUAAUGAGAAUAUUUCUGAGGGGGAGAACAUGAAGUUUCUUUCUAAAAUACUCAUUCAGGGUGUUCCCGUCGUGGCUCAGCGGUUAACGAACCCGACUAGCAUCCAUGAGGACACGGGUUCAAUCCCUGGCCUCCCUCAGUGGGUUAAGGAUCCAGCGUUGCCGUGAGCUGUGGUGUAGGUUGCAGACGCGGCUUGGAUCUGGCAUUGCUGUGGCUGUGGUGUAGGCUGGCAGCUGCAGCUCUGAUUUGACCCCUAGCCUAGGAACCUCCAUAGGCCAUGGGUGUGGCCCCCCCCAAAAAAAACAAUGACAAAAUUCAAGCCAAUCCCAUUCACGAUACAAAGGAAAACCGUUUUAUGGGUCAAAAAUAAAACACGGAUUUCAAAUCAACUCAUCAGCGUGACAUAACUGAUCCUACAACUCCGAGUCUAAUUUUUCCCCAUCAAUCCGAAAUCUCUGGGCUACCCCCACCACAAUGCUAGCCUGGCCUUUUCCAAUCCCAGAAAAAGCCUUUCUUUUUGUCAGGUUCCCCGUUAUUUGGAGCUUUGGUCCAUCAAUGUAAAACGAAUUAUUUUUCAAGCCUUUCUUAUUUUAAAUAUUCAUCUUCUGGAAGUAGGUCACUCUUGUGUGAGUCUGAGCUUCUCUUUGAACUGAUUACCUGUUUCUCCGUAUCUCCCCUAAUAGGAACGUGGAAGGCAUUCAAAGUGUGAAAUCCAAUUCCAGUUAAUUUUAUUGAUUCCUUUCACAGGCUCCUUAUUUCUUAUGCUAAUUCAUGUUUAUUUGAAAAGGAGAAAACAAAACAGCCUUUUCGGAGAGAAUGCCUUCAAAAUCUGUAAAGAGCCAGUACAUGUUUAUUCAAUUAUAAAUGAGCUAUAUAAUAUUUAAAUCACUCACCGGAAAUAAAGAUGGGUUUCAACCCACUCCAGAACACAGCAAGUGUCCUUCCAUAACUUGACCUCGUCUUUGAAAGUGCAUGAAUGACUGAGAUGAUAAAACAGACACCACACCGUCACAUCCACACACACACACCAGGCUACCUGACCGUUCCACCCUGUCCCCUCAUUGAGUUUAUCGAUGCUGUCCCUGUCCCCUCCUCGCGCUCCCUGCUGAAGUCAGAAUAAAAUGGCAAGUCCUACCUAAGGGCACUUCGCCGAGAUUUCCCUUCCCUGCAAGAAUUCCUCUUAAUUUUGAAAGGGGAUGAGGAGGUACAGUUUUGCCCUGCAUAACUUGCCACCGUGUCUGGGAAGCGACAGCCAGACCCUGGAAGAUAAGUGUUGUGUGGCUCUAUCAGAGUGGCCUGGCGCCCAUCCGGCUUUUCCCUGCAUCUAGGUGACAUUCUGUUUCUGUUCCAAAUCUCCCGGUUCUAGAGUGCUCAGCUUUCUCCCUCGUAAUGGAUUAAUCCCAGAGUAACAACUCUGGGAGCAAAGAUGAGAGGCUCAAAUGUGCUGAGGGCAAGGAGUUCCUAUCGUGGCUCAGCAGUAACAAACGUGACUAGUAUCCAUGAGGACGUGGGUUCGAUCCCUGGCCUUGCUCAGUGGGUUAAGGAUCCAGGCGUUGCUGUGAGUGUGGUGUAGGUCGAAGAUGUGGCUUGGAUCUGGUGUUGCUGUGGCUGUGGUGUAGGCCGGCGGCUACAGCUCUGAUUCAGUCCCUAGCCUGGGAACUGCCAUAUACUGUGGGUGCAACCUAAAAAGACAAUUAAAAUAACAGGUACUGAAUGCCAUAAGCAAAUGGACCCUGGACUUGCUUCCAAAAUCAUAACUGCCUGGAUCCAACCCAGAGAAGGUGAUCCCUGCAUCCCCCUUUGAAGGACAGCCACUCUCUAGGUCUGUCACUGAAACAAGUGAUUUACUGCCUCAACCUAACAGGCCUUCUGAAAAAAGGCCUGUUUCUGAAAAAAGUCAUUUUCUCCUAAAUCAUUCAUAAUUCAUCAUUUAAGUGGCAGUCAUUCUCUCCUGAUCACAAACAACUCCCAAGAAAUUACCUUCAUCAUCUCCCACAGGAAUAUGACCUAGAAGCAAGACAUCUGACUCCACAUUCCAGAACCCCUAUCUGGAUAAUGACCGAAGGGGCAAAGGGGCCUUAAGAUUGGUCCGUUUCAUUUUCUAAAUCUGGUUCCUCCUUCUCUCUGUAUCC
rnacentral:lncRNA from 1 species